GCGAACGGGUGCGUAAUACGUGAGAAUCUGCCCUUAGGAGGAGUAUAACUGUUGGAAACGACUGCUAACACUCCAUAUGUCGAGAGAUGAAAUAAUUUAUUGCCUAAGGAUGAGCUCGCGCCUGAUUAGCUAGUUGGUGAGGUAAUGGCUCACCAAGGCCACGACCAGUAGCUGGUUUGAGAGAACGAUCAGCCACACUGGGACUGAGACACGGCCCAGACUCCUCCGGGAGGCAGCAGUGAGGAAUUUUCCGCAAUGGGCGAAAGCCUGACGGAGCAAUACCGCGUGAGGGAUGAAGGAUUUUGGUCUGUAAACCUCUUUUCUCAAGAAAGAAGUUCUGACGGUACUUGAGGAAUAAGCAUCGGCUAACUCCGUGCCAGCAGCCGCGGUAAUACGGGGGAUGCAAGCGUUAUCCGGAAUCAUUGGGCGUAAAGCGCCUGUAGGUUGUUUAAUAAGUCUGUUGUUAAAGACUAGGGCUCAACCCUAGGAAAGCAAUGGAAACUACUAGACUUGAGUA
rnacentral:rRNA from 1 species